ACUGACUCUUGAUCUCAGGGUCGUGAGUUCAAGCCCCACAUCGGGUGUGGGGCCUACUUAAAAAAAAAAGGAGGGCGCCUGGGUGGCUCAGUCCGUUGGGCAUCCGACUUUGGCUCAGGUCGUGAUCUUGCAGUCCGUGAGUUUGAGCCCUGCGUCAGGCUCUGUGCUGACAGCUCAGAGCCUGGAGCCUGCUUUGGAUUCUGUGUCUUCCUUUCUCUUUGUCCCUCUCCCUACUCUCACACUCCUCUCCUUCAAAAAUAAAAAUAAACGUAAAAAAAAUUUUUUUUUAAUUUAAAAAAAAAUUAUAAAAGGUUUUCUCAUGACGUGUACCAGCUCUUUACAUGGCAAGGAAAUCUACCCUUUGUCAUUUGUAUACUAAUAUUUUUUUCUAGUUUCUCAUUUGUCUUUUGACUUUGCUUAUGGUAUAUUUUUGUACAACAAAAGUAAAAUGGAACCAUACCAUAUGCACUAUUUCAUAGCCUUCUUUCCUCUUAGUAUAAAUAUGAACAUCUUUCCAUAUCCCUAAACUUUCGGUCAUCAUGUUCAUUUUCAUUUGCAUAAAUUCAUACUGUUUUUUAUUCUCUCCCCAGAAUAGAGUCACUUGAAUUCCUGGAUGAAAUGGAGCUGCUCGAACAGCUCAUGAAACAUUACUGCCUUUGUUGGGCAAGCAAAGGAGGAAGUGAACUAGGUUUGAAGGAAAUCACUUACUAAUCUAUUGGAAGCCCAGGCCGAGCUGGGAGCUGCUGCCACCAACCUUCCCAGAGUGGACUGGCCAUGUUUCCUGGGCGGUGGCCAGCCCUGGGCUCGUCCCACACCCUGACAGACCUCACUUCCCAGGGCUGUCGCACCACCUGCUGUGCCCGUUGGCUUACCGUUUAAAUAAAUCUCUGUUGCCAGUU